GGUAUUUUUUCCUCAUAAAUGAUCUUGAGCAAUGCUAAAUAAUCUGUUCCUUAUCUAAAAUGCCUACAUAUAAUCAAUAAAUAAGUAAUCAAUUGGCUUUUUAAUCGUUUGAAAAAGUCACACCAAACAAUGUUACAAUAUAGAUUUUUUUGGACAUGUAUUUACACGCAUAUGGCCUGCAUCAUUGUUGACCUUGGAACAACAUUUCUAACAACCAAUCAAUCAGAUUUAAGGGAUAAGAAAUAAGUGUUUUUGGUUCAACAGUAGCUGACAGAAGCAACAGACUGCUUGUGUUUCAACACAUCUUCAUGCGAUUGCAAAAAUUAAUACAAGAAGAUGCUCUCUGAUUUGCGCAGGGAGUUUCAUUUGAUGCAUUCUGACCAUUCAAGAAAGGCCAAACUUGUUUGGCUGGGAAUGGUGUAGUUUCACAUCAUGGAGGUGGGCUGCAGUCCAUUUUGCAUUUGCAAAGAAAUACAAACCUGACAGGUUUCAAUGCCCUGAGCACGAAUUUUUAUACUGUGAUUUAUCCUGAAAUUAUCGAGACCUACCGAUCUACAUUUUGUUUUUGUAGUACAAUGUUUAGGUACCUGUACAAACCCAAUGAAAUCUCAAUGUGUUUAAAUAAAAAAGUGGGAGUAAAUCUAUAGUGCACCCUGAGUUUUUUUUUUUUAAGGCAAUUUGCAAGUCCUGAACAUGCCUUUGCAGAUACUGUUACUGAAGCCAUGCUACAUAAACCUAAUUCACAUCUCAAGCUAUAUCUCAAUGUGUAUCAAAAAUGCAGAUGACCUGCAUAAACUUUCACUUAAAUCAGAUGUUCUUUGAUGGACGUAUAUAUAUUAACCUGUGACCCUUUUAUUUCUUUAAAAACAAAACUUAAAAGCAUUCCUGGUGAUAGGCAAAAACACAUACCAUAGUAAUGUCCCCAGGCAAAUGUACUUGUCUGUAGAUGACACGUAAUUCAUGCUGUGCAACAUUUCGCUAUAUAGCAGAUCUUAAUAUUCAAUUGAAUGAUACUGUAUGACUAUGAUUAGUUAUUGAUUGAUGUUGAAAUGGUUGCCAUUACAAAACUUUUUGACUUCAAAAUUAUUCAAGGAGGAGCUCAGAUGCAAAAGCCUUCAAACGUUACCUUCAUCAGAAAUGAUAUAAUGAUAUUAACCAAAUGCUCUUGACAAGAUAAGAUAGGUAGAUUAUUUUAUCAGGUCUAGACGUUGGGUGUGCCAUUAAAAAAUAUCUACAGAUAUUAUGUUCUUAAAAAAGCAUGUGAUAGAUAUUUGUUAUUUCCAUAUAUGGUGCUCAUCUGACAAUGAUUCCACCCUUCUCAUGACUGACAGGUGGCCCAGCCACAUGCCUUACGGUUUUUUUGUUGUUGUUGUGAUAACUGCACAUCUGCGCAGUUCAUGCUUAAAAUAAAAUAGCACUGUAAACACUAUACACAUCUGGGUUUUAUUAAAUGCAUGUUUAUGUUAAUCUAUACCGAACUUGCUUGAGUAUUUCAAAGCAUUAUUUUUAGGGGCUAUGUAUGUAUUGUGCAAUACUUUAAGUCAACAAUCCAAGGGUGUGUCUUAUCUUGUCACCUAGCCAGUUUUUUACAACCUGCUCUAGAUCUUUAUCUGUCAUCAUCAAAGUUAUUCCUUCAAUGCAUAUACAGUAGGUUAAUUAUAUUUAUAACCACAUCUAGGUAUUGCAAUUUCUCUCUAAUAUGUGUUUGUGCAUGUACAAGUAUAAAUGAAUAGUUAGUAAAAUUUUAUUUAUCUUGGCUAUCAACCAUCCCUACACAGUUUUUCACAAUGCAUUUUUGCCAUGCACAUAUUUAGGGUCAAUGCAGUGCAUUAAAAAUGCCACACCCUGCUAUUGGUUAUAGUACUACAUCAAUGCAAAAGUGCCAAACCCUGCAAUGUUACCAAGAUCAAAUAAGGUACACACUGCAAUUUAUAGAGAACACGCCUUAAUCUUAGAUCACCUAAUGUUCAGACAUACACGUACAAACAUGCAUUCACACAAAUGCAGGCAAAUACGUGCACACAUGAAUAAUAUCCGAAAAAGUCAUAGCUGAGUGUGCACACCGUCCUGCAGACACUGUACAGCCUACGCUUUCAGGCCAAACCCUGGCCUAACCCCUGUGUUAAACACAUCUGAUUUACAGUAAUAGCCUGCCGUAGCCAACAUUCUCCGCAAAGUCCUGAGGAUCCAGCCCGGACAUGCGUUUUCCUGUUUUUUCUCAUUGUGUCUCCGACUUCUUUAUAAGGUACUUCAGUAUGCCGUAGUAGAUUUAGCAAGAGCUUAUUGCUCAUCACAAACACCCAUACAAAGCAUUGGAUUGUACACCGUGAGCUCAUAGCUCUCACACCUGCAUUAUGCUAUCGUGAAGUCAUGAUAUUUAAUUGUGUUAUACUGUGAGAGCUGUAACACCCAACGGUCUAAAACUUUUACUGGUGGGUCAAUGACAAUACAUGCUGGGUUUGUGUAUGGGGGCAUUAUUUCCUGUGCCACUUUAUGUUUUGGUAUCUCAAAGUUGUAAAAUGUCAGGUGGUGCAACUGUCCGAACAAACAGAUUAAGACAACUUUUAGAAAUGGUGUUUAAAAUAUUGUGGCAUUAUUUUAUACUCCGAGAUAAUUGAAAAACUUUUGUCCAACAAUUUGGAUAUUCUUAAAUGUCAGGGUGGUACAACCACAAAUAUGGGCAUUUUACUAAAAAAUCAUUCAGAGGACCCCAAGUGAUCCUUCUGGCUGAAUGAAAAGGUUUGUAGAUUUGCUCAAACAUAUUAAAUAGCUAUUUUCAUGUAAUAAGUAAAAAGGUACAAUUUCUGUGUCAGGUGGUGCAACCAAUAUAAAACAAGGAAAACGGUGUUUCAUCAAAUAUAAUUAAAAACUGUAUUUAUGUGCUUAGUAGCACAGGCAAAAGUCAAUACAGGCAUCCAAGUAGAAGCUUGUUAAGUGUGAUUUAUAGUCGUGCAUAGGUGCUAUGCCGCAGGUUCUAUGCCGUGGGCAAUGCAUAGGCUAUACGUAGCCUGAUGUGCAUCUCUGCAAAAUUGUAACAAUGCAUUACAUUGUAUUUACAUGGACCGAAAGCGCUGUAAUUGGACCGCUAGAACCCCUCCCAUCAGGAUUUUUGCUAAGGACGGUAAAAACAAGUUGAAGAGUGAUAAACUCAAGCUGCAACAAUUGUCGCUCUCCAUUUACCUCCAUCACAGCUAAUCUUAUCAUAAUCAACAAACUGCUGCUCCUGCUUCUUCGUCUAUGGAGGGUUUACUGGCCAAGCACCUCCUUCUUCAGCUGUUUUAUUGCUACUGUGGGUAACAUGCAUGGAUACUGCCUAUUAGCGGUCUGCAUGUGUAAGUGCACGUUAAUGCGGACGAUGACGCAGAAGUAGCCUAUAUAUGAAAACCGACGCGUAGCCUACGGUGUCAAGGCUAUGCCGUAGGACUACUAUAAUGAGCCCUUGACAAAGUCAGGUGGGUGGUACCAUUAGUAAGUUAUAUAAUCAUUUGGUUGUACCACCUGACAUUCUUUUAAUUGGGAAAUUGAAAAAACUAGUGCUAGGGAAAGAUUAAUCGCGAUUAAUCGCAUACAAAAUAAAAGUGAUUUUUAGCAUAAUAUACAAGUGUGUGCUUAUUCGUGUGUAAAUAUUAUGUAUAUAUAAAUACACACACAUUCAUGAAUGUUUUUAAGAAGCAUUAACAUGUGUAUAUAUAUUUAUUUAUA